rnacentral:lncRNA from 1 species
AUAAUAUUUGGUAUAUAAUUUGGAAUACAAGUUAUUUUUAAAAAAAAAUUUCAUUCUUAUUUAUUGAUUAUUAUCUAUUUUUUAUUGAAAUAAUUUAAUUUCGAGAUCUAACUAUCUUAUAUGACAUCACCGAUCGGAAUUAUCCAUUAUAUAUUUUUUUUUAUUUUCACUAAUUGGGACUAUCCAUAACUUAUUUAAAAUUGAUUUUAAUUUAUUUUCAUAGAGAUAUUUUGAUCCCAAAAUUAUCUUGUUGUAAAAUUACAGAAUUACAAAAUUACAUAUAAUCACGUAGCCAUCUCUUCCUAGAUAAUCAGAUUACUUCUUUUUUAGAUAAUGCUGCAUUACAUAUAAUCAACAUUACUUGUGAAAGUGAC